GACGAACGCUGGCGGCGUGCCUAACACAUGCAAGUCGAGCGAAUGAAGUUCCUUCGGGAAUGGAUUUAGCGGCGGACGGGUGAGUAACACGUGGGCAACCUGCCUCAUAGAGGGGAAUAGCCUUCCGAAAGGGAGAUUAAUACCGCAUAAGAUUGUAGUAUCGCAUGAUACAGCAAUUAAAGGAGCAAUCCGCUAUGAGAUGGGCCCGCGGCGCAUUAGCUAGUUGGUGAGGUAACGGCUCACCAAGGCGACGAUGCGUAGCCGACCUGAGAGGGUGAUCGGCCACAUUGGGACUGAGACACGGCCCAGACUCCUACGGGAGGCAGCAGUGGGGAAUAUUGCACAAUGGGGGAAACCCUGAUGCAGCAACGCCGCGUGAGUGAUGACGGCCUUCGGGUCGUAAAGCUCUGUCUUCAGGGACGAUAAUGACGGUACCUGAGGAGGAAGCCACGGCUAACUACGUG
rnacentral:rRNA from 1 species